ensembl:snRNA U4 U4 spliceosomal RNA
AGCUUUGCACAGAGGCAGUAUUGUAACCAUGGAGGUUCAUCUGGGGUGAGAUUAUUGCUAAUUUAAAAUGAAAACAAUAAAGACAGAAUUAUUUUAGGAGACAGGCCACACAAGACUG